AUUGAACGCUGGCGGCAGGCCUAACACAUGCAAGUCGAACGAGUGGCGGACGGGUGAGUAAUGUCUGGGAAACUGCCAGAUGGAGGGGGGUAACUACAGGAAACGGAAGCUAAUACCGCAUACCAUCGGAUGUGCCCAGAUGGGAUUAGCGAGUAGGUGGGGAAACGGCUAACAUAGGCGACGAUCCCUAGCUGGUCUGAGAGGAUGACCGUCCACACUGGAACUGAGACACGGUCCAGUCUCCUCCGGUGGGCAGCAUUGGGGAAUAUUGCACAAUGGGCGCAAGCCUGAUGCAGCCAUGCCGCGUGUAUGAAGAAGGCCUUCGGGUUGUAAAGUACUUUCAGCGAGGAGGCGUUACUCGCAGAAGAAGCACCGGCUAACUCCGUGCCAGCAGCCGCGGUAAUAC
rnacentral:rRNA from 1 species